rnacentral:rRNA from 1 species
GUAGGUGGCAAGCGUUGUCCGGAAUUAUUGGGCGUAAAGCGCGCGCAGGCGGGUUCUUUAAGUCUGAUGUGAAAGCCCACGGGCUCAACCGUGGAGGGUCAUUGGAAACUGGAGAACUUGAGUACAGAAGAGGAAAGCGGAAUUCCACGUGUAGCGGUGAAAUGCGUAGAGAUGUGGAGGAACACCAGUGGCGAAGGCGGCUUUCUGGUCUGUAACUGACGCUGAGGCGCGAAAGCGUGGGGAGCAAACAGGAUUAGAUACCCUGGUAGUCCACGCCGUAAACGAUGAGUGCUAAGUGUUAGGGGGUUUCCGCCCCUUAGUGCUGCAGCAACGCAUUAAGCACUCCGCCUGGGGAGUACGACCGCAAGGUUG